AACUGAACUGUUAUCCGUGCUGGACCAUGUACAAGUCUGUUGAAAAGCAGCAUCAUUGAAGGUGAAAAUCCUGUAGAUGAUAUGGACUACCAGUACUUUUGUGAUACGGUUUCUAAGAGUCGAGUUGUUUGGGAAUGCAGCUCAAAGUGGGUGGUAAAUUCCAUCUAAGGCUAAAUAUAAGUGAGAGACCGAUAGCAAACAAGUACCGUGAGGGAAAGAUGAAAAGAACUUUGAAAAUAGAGUUAACAGUACGUGAAAUUGCUGAAAGGGAAACGUUUGAAGUUAGUUUUGUAUUCGUUGGAUCAGCUUCGCAAGGAGUGUAUUCUGAUGAUAGCAAGUCAACAGUCU
rnacentral:rRNA from 1 species